rnacentral:tRNA from 1 species
CGGGGCGUAGCGCAGCCUGGUAGCGCAUCUGCUUUGGGAGCAGAAAGUCGCUGGUUCAAAUCCAGUCGCCCCGA